rnacentral:rRNA from 1 species
GACGAACGCUGGCGGCAUGCCUAAUACAUGCAAGUCGAGCGAACAGAUGAAGUGCUUGCACUUCUGACGUUAGCGGCGAACGGGUGAGUAACACGUAAGGAAUCUACCUAUAAGCGGGGGAUAACAUUCGGAAACGGGUGCUAAUACCGCAUAAUAUCUUCUUCCGCAUGGAAGAAGAUUGAAAGACGGCUCUGCUGUCACUUAUAGAUGACCUUGCGGGUCAUUAGUUAGUUGGUGGGGUAACGGCCUACCAAGACGAUGAUGCAUAGCCGACCUGGGAGGGUGAUCGGCCACAUUGGGACUGAGACACGGCCCAAACUCCUACGGGAGGCAGCAGUAGGGAGUCUUCCGCAAUGGGCGAAAGCCUGACGGAGCAAUGCCGCGUGAGUGAAGAAGGCCUUCGGGUCGUAAAACUCUGUUAUAAGAGAAGAACAAAUUGUAGAGUAACUGCUACAGUCUUGACGGUAUCUUAUCAGAAAGCCACGGCUAACUACGUGCCAGCCGCCGCAGUAA